AGAGUUUGAUCAUGGCUCAGGACGAACGCUGGCGGCGUGCUUAACACAUGCAAGUCGAACGGUGAUGAUGGGGCUUGCCCUGUCUGAUCAGUGGCGAACGGGUGAGUAACACGUGAGCAACCUGCCCCAGACUCUGGGAUAACUCCGGGAAACCGGAGCUAAUACCGGAUAUGACCCUCGUGCGCAUGUGCUGGGGGUGGAAAGUUUUCGGUCUGGGAUGGGCUCGCGGCCUAUCAGCUUGUUGGUGAGGUAGUGGCUCACCAAGGCGACGACGGGUAGCCGGCCUGAGAGGGCGACCGGCCACACUGGGACUGAGACACGGCCCAGACUCCUACGGGAGGCAGCAGUGGGAAUAUUGCACAAUGGGCGGAAGCCUGAUGCAGCGACGCCGCGUGAGGGAUGACGGCCUUCGGGUUGUAAACCACUGUCGUAGAGGAGGAAGGCCGGGUGAAGAGCCCGGUUUGACCUAUUCUAGGAGGAAGGGUGGGCUAAGUUCGUGCCAGCAGCCGCGGUAAUA
rnacentral:rRNA from 1 species